AUGCCGGAGUUCAUGCAGCGGCCUCCACCAGCACCAACUGGAAAAAAGAAAGGAGUGUGGAGCAAGUUAUUUGGUUCUUCCACCUCUGCCCCGAGCUCUUCCACAUCAGGACCAUCGCCUGUGCUUUUAGGUGGUGGGGAGUUAGCGAAGUACCUCAACUGCGACAAAGUCAGCUUCAAUGAAGAUGAGGACGACGACUUUGACAUAAUUCAGUGGUGGCAUGAAUACAAGGUUACAUAUCCGGUGCUUUCCAUAUUAGCACGGGAUGUGUUAUCAGUACCCGUCUCAUCUAUAUCAUCAGAGUCUGCUUUCAGUCUAGCUGGAAGAAUACUUGAGGAAAGAAGGACGAGUCUCACCCCGGAUAUGGUGAGAACACUCAUGACCGUGAAAGACGGAGAACUAGCCAGAAGAAGAGGCCAACACACUGCGGAAAACAACGAACUGAUGGCCACGUUCGAAGAUCUUGCACUCGAAGACGAAGAGAACGAAGAGUAG
rnacentral:rRNA from 1 species